AGAGUUUGAUCCUGGCUCAGGACGAACGCUGGCGGCGUGCUUAACACAUGCAAGUCGAACGGGGCAUAGAGAUAUGCCUAGUGGCGGACGGGUGAGUAACACGUGAGCAAUCUAUCCUAUACAACGGGAUAACACAGAGAAUUUGUGCUAAUACGGUAUAAGACCACAUUCCGGCAUCGGAGGAGGGGUAAAAGCUGAGGCGGUAGUAGG
rnacentral:rRNA from 1 species